AAGACAGCCCUAGCUCUAGUUAAAGCUAAAAUUAUUAGUUUCUAGUAAAAAUCAGUUUUAAUCAUCUAAAUGAGAAAUGCAAAGUCAAACCAGUGAAACUUUGAUGCUGUUUUGCAAUUCGGUAAGUUACAGAAAGUAAAUAAAACUGUCACAUUGACAGUAGAUGAUCAAGUAUACUGUACAUUAGUCAUGGGGCACAGAUAUGAAUAUUUAAUUUAGGAAGGUAAAAAAAAAAAAACUAGCAAGUGACUCAUCAUUGCCAAUUUAGCAUCAAGGCAAUUUAUGCAUUGCUCUUGGGCACACAAACUACCGCUGUAUAAAUUUAAAAAUUAUUGUAUAUUUUGUAUAAUCUAUGAUUUAAUGUAAGGUAUCCCUUUUCAUUAUAAUAAUGUUGCAGCUUGAUAAUCCAGCCAUGUCUUUAAAUGAGUUCCACCUUCCUCCGUUUUCCAGCUACCAGAUCAGUCCUGUGAAAUAUAUACCCUUGAUAAACGUGUUUGUAUAAAUAUCUCUCUUUCUGUGUCUCCUUUUCACUCUAUCUAUCCAUUUUCUCUCUAGAUGUGUAAAAUACGUUUCACUUCCUCUCUAGAUGUGUAAAAAUACAGAAAUAUAGUAACAAACUAUAAUGCUGUAAAGCUGUUAUAAUUGCCUACAUUAGGCUUGAAAAUCACAUUUCAGCGUAAUUCUACCUUUUCUGAUUGCCUUAUUUAGAGAGUGUACAUAAAUACCCAUGGUAUAAACAGAUAUUAAAUCAGAGAACUGGUGUUUAAGACUGUACUUAUUAGAGUGUCUCUUUUGCUAUUUUCCUUCCAUCUUUUUUUAUCAGUUUCCUGUUUUUGACUUGAUGUGUUGUGUUAAAAUAUAUAGUUUUUGAGGCCCAGAUCUUUGCCAUUCUAGCCCAUUUUGUUGCCUUCUAGCAUAAGACUCACUGGGAUAUGCAGAUUUUCAUCUAGACUGCUGUAUAAAUUAAAUGAACCAAGGAAAAAACAACUACACAAAAAGUUAUUGAAUGACAUUGACAACAAAACCAACGCCGUUACAAGGACAUUUAAUUUUGAGCCAUUAAAAUUUAUCAGAUGUUUGAAUCAAAUUAUUGUACUAUAUUUUCCAUUGAAAUCCAAAUACAAUAUCUCUGGAUUAACAUUUGAAUUUAAUAAUACUUGUCAGAAAUGUUAAUAAUGCAAAAAGAUUUUUCUCUUUUUUUAAUUGUUAUCUAUGAUAUACC